UAUAAUCUAUAUUGUCAAGGAAGUGCUGGAGCAUUUCUGUAUAUCUUGUUGUAGUCAUUGCAAUUGUAACUUUGCUUUGUUUUGUUUUAUUCAUGUACUUUUACUAAUGAGUAAUAUUGAAGUAAAAGAUUACGAUAAUAUAAUUUUACGAUGACUUACUUUCAUGAAAUUUUAGCUCACUUUUUAUCAGCUUUGUAAAAUGUUUUAAAUGUUUCGGAAUUUCAUUCUGAAUUUAACAUAAUUUACUUCCUAGUUCAAAUCUCCAGCAGUACGACAACGGAAUGCAGCGGGCAGGGUAUGAACGAAAGUCUUUUGCGCAUACCGCAAGACAACGCAGACAUCCAGGCAGCUUUUAAGUUAAUAAAUAUAUUUUUCAUAUAUCGAUGUUUGUAUCACAUUUACCUUUAGCGAUCCUUUAAUCAAUUAAACCUUUUUGGUAUCACACAUGAUCUGUCGAGGUUUUUCACCUUUUCCCACUGUCUUUUGACUUGACUAGAAUAUUUUCUUUGAUUGUUUUUUUAUAUUCCUUUCUCUGUAUGCCUCUUCUUUUUUGCGUGUUACUGUUCUUUAAAAGAAGGUCUUUGCGAACCAUAGGACCUCAUAUUGAGGCCUUACAGUUUACGUACGCGUUUUAAGCUUGUUGUCAGCAGACCAUCGUGGUGCCCAAAUGUCAUUUUGAUCCUGUUUCGAAUUUCCUCAUUAGGGAUGCGGACUUUGUAGGCGAUGAUUUUCUUUUAUGUAUUAAUGUCAUAAUAUUUCCAACGUGCAACAAUUAUAAAUACAUUACGCACAUUAUUACUUUUUAGUUUAGUAAAAAUAGCACCCGGUUUAUGUCAUAAAACUGCUAUUUUUUUCAUCUCUUAAUGCAUAAUAACAAUUAUUUUUAAUUAUUUUGAAAAGAAAGAUUAUAUUUCAUUAUUGAAAGAGAAUGUUUACAUCGUAUAUAUCAAUUAAUUUAAGAAGAUAGAUAAUUGUCUAAAUUGAAGUUGUACAAUUUAUUACCAAGAGAUUAUAUACAUAUCAUAACAAUUUAAUCAAGACUAAUCGAAGUAAUACCUUAAAACCAUUUUAAAAAUCGAUAAAAACAAAUUAUUCAUCUUUUAAAAAAUGCAUAACAGACGUAGACCAAUUGCACUUUUCUACUUCAACUGUAUUACACGGUAAAGGCAGAUACACUACACAAUUUAUCUAUAGAUACUUAUCCGCUUUAGGUAACUCCUUUAGACAUUAGACCAUAAAUCCUACUCGACUAUUUGUUAAAAUUGCUGAGAAAAAACGUCAUUUUGAAACAAUUUAAAGCCAUCAACUACGUUGAUGAAUGGUCUUCUUUCGUUUAUUUCAAUUUUAGAAAAUGUUUUUGUUAUAUUUCAUUAUUUGUUGUUUUUUUUUUUACAAUUUAUUGAUUUCGCCACAUCUGUAAGGAAUAUUUUUCGUUUGGGUUGCUGUUAAAAUAUGUAUAUUUUAUUAAUCUGUUGUAAUGUGUAUUCUUUGAUGUAAUAAACUUUAGUAUUUUUA